rnacentral:rRNA from 1 species
UACGUAGGUGGCAAGCGUUGUCCGGAUUUACUGGGCGUAAAGAGCGCGCAGGCGGUCGUCCAAGUCGCGUGUGAAAGCCCCCGGCUCAACUGGGGAGGGUCACGCGAUACUGGUCGACUCGAAGGCAGGAGAGGGUAGUGGAAUUCCCGGUGUAGUGGUGAAAUGCGUAGAUAUCGGGAGGAACACCAGUGGCGAAGGCGACUACCUGGCCUGUUCUGACGCUGAGGAGCGAAAGCGUGGGGAGCGAACAGG